rnacentral:lncRNA from 1 species
CGCCACCGCCGCCUCCGCCCUACAAGCCGUCAGCACAAGGUUUUGUUGACUUUUAUCCACCACCAUCUCAAGAUCCUCUCACUGUUUGGGGAGCUCCUCCCCCCGGCCGCAGCAGUUGGAGUCCAGUGGCCAUAAAAUUGCCUUCUACUUCUAUUCUUCUACCGGUGACCCCCUCCCCGUUAUUAUUAUUUUUUUAAAAAAAGUUUUGCUCUUUCCAGUAUUAUUUUGCAUUAAAUCGGUGUUGAUGUUCAUUCUCUGAAGGAACCCAAACCGGGCAAGCGGUCGUUAUAUAUACAGUCACCAACUCCAUCUAACUUGGAAUAUCGAAGAACCUUUCAUCCUCCGUACACUCCGAGUCCAACUUAUAGUCCCACUGCCCCUGGCGGUUACAGUUACUCUCAAUCUCAGGAUGCUAUGCACGCCAAGCCACUGCUCUUUGCUAAAAUCGCACUCCAUUGCUACAAUCUCGAAAAGGUAUCUCUCUUUUUUUUUUUACUUGCUUCUGCCUUAACCAUAUAUAUAAUAAUAUGUUUUUAUUUUAUUUUUUAGGGGACACACUUUGAACGUUUGGGUCUGCCUCGAGCUUAUGACCAGACCUUAGAGGCAAGGGAUCCAGCACGCAAUUACACUUGCAGGUUUGAAACAAGUGUUCGGCUUGCCACUGAGAAUAAAGAUUGCUUCCAUGUUGUCACAACCCGCUGCAGGCCCUUGCCCCCACCUCCUCCUCCAGGUAAUAUGAUUGCAAAAAUGCUCUUAUAUCUUUUCUUUUUGUUUGAUAAAAUAUUCUGAAAUUUAUCGUUAUCGGAAAAUUUUGUAAAUUCUGAAAUUGUUUUAAAGGUGUUUUAACAGAUUUUUUAGUCAAAGACAACAAAAUCAAAAUAUUGCGGUUUUAUAAUAGAUUUUUAAAAUUUUCAAUUCACAUAAAAUCAUCUUACAUUUAUAAAAUUAACUAAUUCAAAUUUUCUGAGUGGACAAAUUAUUGCAAUAAUGAUUUGUUCCUAGGCCUGGUCGUUCGGGGCCCGUCGGUUUCGGUUCGGUUGAUUAGGAUUUUCUGAUUUUCAGUGUUACGCUCAUAAUUCAUGUUCGGGUUUUACUAAUUAUAGGGUCAGGUUCGGUUCGGUUCGGAUCGGAUUGUAACCAAAGUUUGACAAUUGUUUUAAAAAUGUAUAUAGAAAUUAUUCAAAAAUCUAAUUAAAAAUAGUUAAAUUAUCUAAAUUAACUAAAAAGUAUUCAAAAUAACAAAUAAACAAAACUACAAAAAUAUUUUGAAUACUUUAAAAUAUAUAAUUCACUUUAACAUAUAUUACAACAUUAACGUAUUUAACUAAUUUCAGAUAUUUUUGGAUCUUAGUUUGGAUUUUGGUUUAGUUUGGAUAUUUUUUAAUAACGAUUCGAAUCCGGUUUUGGUUUAUCCGGUUAGGUUUAGCUAUUUGUUCCGUUUGGAUUAUCAUUAUUGGGUUUCAAAGUUUAGAAAAGCCCAAUUACUAACUAUGUAGGUUGCUAACCGUAUAUAAAGGAAGUAGAGAGAAUUUCGGGAGAGUGGUUUUUAUUUCUGGGAAAGAGAGAGAAAAAGGUACGUGUCUUUCUUUCAUUUCCCGCAACCUCUCUUUGGGUGAGAAUGUCGGACGCGGUGCUGAAGAAGGGAGAUAGUAACACUAACACCUUGAGUGAUAAGGUUAUUAUUAUAUAUGUGUAAACCGGUUUAAUCUAGAUUAGAUUAGAUUAGCUGGUAUACUUGAUUUCAGUCUGGUUUACAAGUUAAGUAAUUGUAUAUAUAUCUUGUACCAGAACACAUUCCGUUUGUGGAAAAUAAGAGAUCAGUUUACCAAAUCUCUCUUUGCUCUCGAUCUCUAUUAUGGUACCAGAGCUUAUUGUAUUGAUUUCUUCGAAUUUUCUCGUGAUUUCUUCAAUUUCUGCUCAAUCAUCUUCCUAAACACAUUCGUUCGAUCAUCUCUGACCUUCCGCAAGCUUGAUCGAAGUCGAUAUGGGGAAGAGAGGGGGAAAAAUGAAGACGCGAAGCUCAAUUUCUGAUGACGAAGGAUCUGCGAUCAAAUCUCCACAUGGAUUCCAGAUCCACGAUGAACCUGCAACAGCGAUGACAAAGCAACAACAAGCUCGACGAUCGAUGACUCCGGGAACGAUGAACACACCGGUGAAGUUCUCCGACGCGCACGAUAGCAUUCACAGCCUAUUCUUCCUUCAUUCAGCUGAUCAUCCAGGUCUGACUAUAGUAGUUCACACUCUUGAUGGAACUAACUAUAAUAGUUGGUCGAUUGCGAUGAAGAUAAGCCUAGAUGCACAGAAUAAGCUGAGUUUUGUUGAUGGAUCUCUUCCUAGACCAUCCGUUGAUGAUAAUAUGUUUAAAAUCUUCGACUAUACCUAAAGGAACUGAGCUGUCUCUUAGUGAUUGGAUCAUAGACUCAGGAGCUAGUCAUCAUGUUACUCAUACUAGGAGCUUAUAUAGAGAUUACCACCCUUUAGAGAAUACGUUUGUUACUCUCCCUAAUGGUUACACAGUAAGAAUAUCUGGAACUGGUUACAUUCAACUCACUGAUGCGAUCUCUCUCUAUAGUGUUUUGCAUAUUCCUGAAUUUAAGUUUAACUUGCUGAGUGUUAGUGUGAUUACAAAAUCUUUGAACUCUCAAGUUAGCUUUACUUCUGAUUCUUGUUUCAUUCAGGCUCUUACUCAGGAGUUGAUGAUUGGUCAAGGUAGUCAAGUUGCCAACUUAUAUGUCUUAGAUCACAAUAAAUCGCAUGCUAAUCUCGUUGGUCAGGGUCCAGGUAAUGUCUCUGUCUGUUCUAGCAUGGUUCUUGAUCCUUUGACAUGGCACAAAAGACUAGGACACCCUUCUAUGAAGAAAAUUAAUUCUCUAUCUGAUAUUUUACUUAUACCUAAAGGAAAAGAUGUAAAACACUCUAAAGUUUGUCAUAUUUGUCAUUUGUCUAAGCAAAAACGUAUUCCCUUUGUAUCUAGAAAUCAUCUUUGUUCAAAACCUUUGGAAUUAAUACACAUUGAUACUUGGGGUCCCUUUGCUGUUCCAACUAUUGAUGGUUACAAGUAUUUUUUAACCAUUGUUGAUGAUUUUAGUAGAGCAACUUGGGUGUAUGUGCUUAAACAAAAAUCUGAUGUUUUACAUGUCUUUCCUGGUUAUAUUGAAAUGAUAGAAAACCAAUUGAAUACUAGAGUGUGUGCUGUUCGAUCUGAUAAUGCUAAUGAGCUGAAUUUUACUACAUUAUAUCAUAAUAAAAGUAUUAAAGCAUUUCAUUCUUGUCCUGAAACUCCUGAACAGAACUCGGUAGUAGAGAGAAAGCAUCAGCAUCUGUUGAAUGUAGCUAGGGCUCUUAUAUUUCAAUCUGGAGUUCCUUUAGAGUAUUGGGGCGAUUGUGUUUUAACGGCUACUUUUCUUAUUAAUCGUCUCCCUUCUCUAGUACUAGGAAAUAAAACUCCAUAUGAGAAACUUAUGUCUAAGAUCCCAGAAUAUCAUUUACUUAAAACGUUUGGGUGUCUUUGUUAUGUUUCCACCUCGAACAAGUCUAGAAAUAAGUUUGAACCCCGUGCUAGAGCCUGUGUCUUUCUAGGAUAUCCUGCAGGUUAUAAAGGUUACAAACUCUUAGAUAUAGAGACACGCUCAGUUUCUAUUUCUAUACAUGUCAUAUUCUAUGAGGAUAUUUUUCCUUUUGCAUCUUCUCACAUCACUGAGGAUGUUAAAAGUUUCUUUCCUCAUCUUCAUUUUCCUGCAUCUAUAGAUGUUUCAGUGCCUCUUGCGCACACAUCUUCUGAUACUCAUCUCUCUAAAGAUGGGUCAUCUUCUGUGGAUUCAGUUUCCCCUGAAUUGAAAUCCACUAGGCAAAAGAAAAAGCCUUCCCAUUUGCAGGACUUUCAUUGCUAUAAUAGUAAUUCUACUCAUAUAUCUGACCUUUCUAUACCCAUCACUCAAACUCCUAAACACACUUCUCCUUAUCCUCUUAUCAAUUACAUUUCUUAUUCUUAUCUAUCUGAGACUUUUCGUGCCUUUACUAAUAUCAUUACUCCGGCUAAGAUUCCUACAAGAAUCUCUGAGGCUUUAGAGGACAAGAUAUGGCGUGAUUCUAUAGGGAAGGAGAUUGGAGCAUUUAUUCGUACAGGAACUUGGAGUAUCACAGAGUUACCACCUGGUAAAGUGGCAGUUGGUUGUAAGUGGUUACAUACGAUCAAAUAUCAUGCGGAUGGAACUGUAGAAAGACCAAAAUCACGGUUAGUUGCGAAGGGGUACACACAACAAGAGGGAAUAGAUUACAAUGACACAUUCUCUCCCAUGGCUAAGUUGGUGACAGUGAAGUUGAUAUUUGCUUUAGCUUCGAAGAUGAACUGGUUUCUUCGACAACUUGACAUCUCCAAUGCAUUUCUGAAUGGAGAUUUGGAUGAAGAGAUAUAUAUGAAGGUUCCACCGGGCUAUGCAGAUAUUCAAGGGGAGAAAAUUUCUUCAACCGCUGUUUGUAGACUUCACAAAUCCAUAUACGGUUUGAAGCAAGCUUCUCGCCAAUGGUUUCUGAAGUUUUCUACAACCCUGAUAGCUUUUGGAUUUGAUCAAUGUCCUGGUGAACAUACUCUGUUCUUGCAUGAACCUGAUGGUGUAUUUCUGGUGGUGAGUGUCUAUGUUGAUGACAUUAUAAUUGCGAGUACACGUAUGGAAGAUGCUCAAGAUUUAGUAGAGAAGCUUGCAUCCGCAUUUCAAUUGCGUGAUCUUGGUCUUCCUAAAUUCUUUCUUGGCAUUGAAGUGGCGAGAUCAACUGAAGGAAUCACUAUUAACCAGAGGAAGUAUGUGUUAGAUAUGUUGGAGGCUUCGGGUUUCUCUGAUUGUAAACCAUCGUCUAUACCCAUGGAGCCGAAUCAGAAGUUAUCUAAGGAGGAGGGGAUUGUUCUGGAAGACAAAAAACAAUAUCGGAAGUUGAUAGGUAAACUCCAAUACCUAACUAUCACGAGACCUGAUAUCACUUUUGCGGUAUCCAAGCUUUCUCAAUUUGCAUCUGAACCUCGUGACAUUCAUCUUAAGGCGCUUCACAAAGUCUUACGAUAUUUGAAAGGUUCUAUUGGUCAAGGUUUGUUUUACGGUACAGAUCAUAACUUUGAUUUGAGAGCAUUUUCAGAUUCUGAUUGGGGAGCGUGUACUGAUGAUAGAAGAUCAGUCACAGGGUAUGCCAUGUUUCUUGGAGAAUCACUAGUGUCUUGGAGAUCGAAGAAACAUGACACUGUUUCAUUGAGUUCUGCAGAAGCUGAGUUUCGUGUGAUGUGUGUGGCUAGUAAGGAGAUUCUUUGGCUCACACAUGUUUUGAAGUAUUUGCGAGUUCCUUUCUCUCUUCCAGCUUAUCUCUAUGGUGAUAACACAGCGGCACUUCACAUCGCCAGCAACUUUGUAUUUCACGAGAGAACCAAACAUGUUGAGUUUGAUUGUUAUAAGGUUCGAGAGUGUCUUGUGAAGGGUAUUGUGAAGACGAUGUUUGUACGCACAGGAGAUCAGUUGGCCGACAUGCUUACGAAAGCAUUGUAUCCUGCACCCUUCCGGAAUAACAUGAGCAAGAUGGGUGUGAUCAACAUUUAUGCACCUCCAUCUUGAGGGGGGCUAUUAUUAUAUAUGUGUAAACCGGUUUAAUCUAGAUUAGAUUAGAUUAGCUGGUAUACUUGAUUUCAGUCUGGUUUACAAGUUAAGUAAUUGUAUAUAUAUAUAUUUUGUACCAGAACACAUUCCGUUUGUGGAAAAUAAGAGAUCAGUUUACCAAAUCUCUCUUUGCUCUUGAUCUCUAUUAAAGGUAGUUGAAUUCUUUAGUUGCCGUCUCCUCUCUUUGGGUAUUUUGCAUUAAGUCGGUGUUAUUAUUCUUGAAGGAACUCGAUGCAGCUGUUCUACCACCAGACCAGCCGUUAAAUGAAUUAACAUCAUCAAGUUGUGCUGACAGUAACACAUUGAGUGUUAAGGUAAUACUAAUUGGAUUGUUUUCUAGUUUGUCAUAUCUAGUUUGUGGUGGGCGUUAUUUUUUAAACCUGGUGGUGCAUAUCCUUCAGGAACUCGGUGCUUCUCUACCGCCACCACCGCCGCCACCGCCGCCUCCGCCCUACAAGCCGUCAGCACAAGGUUUUGUUGACUUUUAUCCACCACCAUCUCAAGAUCCUCUCACUGUUUGGGGAGCUCCUCCCCCCGGCCGCAGCAGUUGGAGUCCAGUGGCCAUAAAAUUGCCUUCUACUUCUAUUCUUCUACCGGUGACCCCCUCCCCGUUAUUAUUAUUUUUUUAAAAAAAGUUUUGCUCUUUCCAGUAUUAUUUUGCAUUAAAUCGGUGUUGAUGUUCAUUCUCUGAAGGAACCCAAACCGGGCAAGCGGUCGUUAUAUAUACAGUCACCAACUCCAUCUAACUUGGAAUAUCGAAGAACCUUUCAUCCUCCGUACACUCCGAGUCCAACUUAUAGUCCCACUGCCCCUGGCGGUUACAGUUACUCUCAAUCUCAGGAUGCUAUGCACGCCAAGCCACUGCUCUUUGCUAAAAUCGCACUCCAUUGCUACAAUCUCGAAAAGGUUAUCUCUCUUUUUUUUUUUACUUGCUUCUGCCUUAACCAUAUAUAUAAUAAUAUGUUUUUAUUUUUAUUUUUUAGGGGACACACUUUGAACGUUUGGGUCUGCCUCGAGAUUAUGACCAGACCUUAGAGGCAAGGGAUCCAGCACGCAAUUACACUUGCAGGUUUGAAACAAGUGUUCGGCUUGCCACUGAGAAUAAAGAUUGCUUCCAUGUUGUCACAACCCGCUGCAGGCCCUUGCCCCCACCUCCUCCUCCAGGUAAUAUGAUUGCAAAAAUGGUCUUAUAUCUUUUCUGUUUGGUUUUUUUUCUAUG